rnacentral:rRNA from 1 species
UACGUAGGGCGCAAGCGUUGUCCGGAAUUAUUGGGCGUAAAGAGCUCGUAGGCGGCUUGUCACGUCGGAUGUGAAAGCCCGGGGCUUAACCCCGGGCCUGCAGUGGGUACGGGCAGACUAGAGUGCGGUAGGGGAGACUGGAAUUCCUGGUGUAGCGGUGAAAUGCGCAGAUAUCAGGAGGAACAACGGUGGCGAAGGCGGGUCUCUGGGCCGUAACUGACGCUGAGGAGCGAAAGCGUGGGGAGCGAACCGG